rnacentral:rRNA from 1 species
AUGUUAGCGGCGGACGGGUGAGUAACACGUGGGUAACCUGCCUGUAAGACUGGGAUAACUCCGGGAAACCGGAGCUAAUACCGGAUAGUUCCUUGAACCGCAUGGUUCAAGGAUGAAAGACGGUUUCGGCUGUCACUUACAGAUGGACCCGCGGCGCAUUAGCUAGUUGGUGAGGUAACGGCUCACCAAGGCGACGAUGCGUAGCCGACCUGAGAGGGUGAUCGGCCACACUGGGACUGAGACACGGCCCAGACUCCUACGGGAGGCAGCAGUAGGGAAUCUUCCGCAAUGGACGAAAGUCUGACGGAGCAACGCCGCGUGAGUGAUGAAGGUUUUCGGAUCGUAAAGCUCUGUUGUUAGGGAAGAACAAGUGCAAGAGUAACUGCUUGCACCUUGACGGUACCUAACCAGAAAGCCACGGCUAACUACGUGCCAGCAGCCGCGGUAAUACGUAGGUGGCAAGCGUUGUCCGGAAUUAUUGGGCGUAAAGGGCUCGCAGGCGGUUUCUUAAGUCUGAUGUGAAAGCCCCCGGCUCAACCGGGGAGGGUCAUUGGAAACUGGGAAACUUGAGUGCAGAAGAGGAGAGUGGAAUUCCACGUGUAGCGGUGAAAUGCGUAGAGAUGUGGAGGAACACCAGUGGCGAAGGCGACUCUCUGGUCUGUAACUGACGCUGAGGAGCGAAAGCGUGGGGAGCGAACAGGAUUAGAUACCCUGGUAG